rnacentral:rRNA from 1 species
UACGGGGGUGGCAAGCGUUGUUCGGAAUUACUGGGCGUAAAGGGUUUGUAGGUGGCCCGCUAAGUCACACGUGAAAUCCCUCAGCUUAACUGGGGAACUGCGUGUGAGACUGGCAGGCUCGAGGGCAGGAGAGGAACGCGGAAUUCCAGGUGUAGCGGUGAAAUGCGUAGAUAUCUGGAGGAACCCCGGUGGCGAAGGCGGCGUUCUGGACAGUUCCUGACACUGAGGCACGAAGGCUAGGGGAGCAAACGGG